UAGGAAUCUUGCACAAUGGGCGAAAGCCUGAUGCAGCGACGUCGCGUGGGGGAGGAAGGCUUUCGGGUUGUAAACCCCUUUUACCCAGGAAGAAACAAAUGACGGUACUGGGUGAAUAAGCCCCGGCUAACUACGUGCCAGCAGCCGCGGUAAUACGUAGGGGGCGAGCGUUGUCCGAAGUUACUGGGCGUAAAGCGCGCGUAGGCGGGUUGGCAAGUCUGCUGUGAAAGCCCGGGGCUUAACUCCGGAGGGUCGGUGGAUACUGCCAGUCUUGAAGGUGCUAGGGAGAGAUGGAAUUACAGGUGUAGCGGUGAAAUGCGUAGAUAUCUGUAGGAACACCAGUGGCGAAGGCGGUCUCUUGGGGCAUUCUUGACGCUGAGGCGCGAAAGCUGGGGGAGCGAAC
rnacentral:rRNA from 1 species